rnacentral:lncRNA from 1 species
ACUCUCUCCUUGAAGCCAAAGCCAAGGCACACUCACUGCCUCCCAGCCUAUAACAUGCCAAGUUAGCAGAAUCUGUGGGCUCCCAGUUUUUCCACCUAGAAAGCAGGAGUGAAUGUGUCCCUCUCUCACUACACGGGUACAUGACAGAAGAUCAGUGAGGCCGCAGGAGCCAGGAAUUCUCCUCAGCAGCCUCCCUUCCCUCUCUAAGCGUCCCACGGUACCCUCAGCAACAGGAUCUUCAAAUAUUUUUAAUCAUGCAUCCCUACCAGGAAAAAAAAAAUGAGCAC